rnacentral:rRNA from 1 species
AUACGGAGGUUGCAAGCGUUAUUCGGAAUCACUGGGCGUAAAGGACGCGUAGGCGGGUUGGCAAGUCAGAUGUGAAAUCCUACAGCUUAACUGUAGAACUGCAUUUGAAACUGCUAACCUAGAGUAUGGGAGGGGGAGAUGGAAUUAGUGGUGUAGGGGUAAAAUCCGUAGAUAUCACUAGGAAUACCGAAAGCGAAGGCGAUCUCCUGGAACAUAACUGACGCUAAGGCGUGAAAGCGUGGGGAGCAAACAGGAUUAGAAACCCGAGUAGUCC